rnacentral:rRNA from 1 species
GAGUUUGAUCCUGGCUCAGGACGAACGCUGGCGGCGUGCUUAACACAUGCAAGUCGAACGAUGACGGUGGUGCUUGCACCGCCUGAUUAGUGGCGAACGGGUGAGUAACACGUGAGUAACCUGCCCCCCACUUCGGGAUAACCUCGGGAAAUCGUGGCUAAUACCGGAUACGAGCACUCAUCGCAUGGUGGGUGUUGGAAAGAUUUAUCGGUGGGGGAUGGACUCGCGGCCUAUCAGUUUGUUGGUGAGGUGAUGGCUCACCAAGACGAUGACGGGUAGCCGGCCUGAGAGGGCGACCGGCCACACUGGGACUGAGACACGGCCCAGACUCCUACGGGAGGCAGCAGUGGGGAAUAUUGCACAAUGGGCGAAAGCCUGAUGCAGCGACGCCGCGUGGGGGAUGACGGCCUUCGGGUUGUAAACCCCUUUCAGUAGGGAAGAAGCGAAAGUGACGGUACCUGCAGAAGAAGCGCCGGCUAACUACGUGCCAGCAGCCGCGGUAAUACGUAGGGCGCAAGCGUUGUCCGGAAUUAUUGGGCGUAAAGAGCUUGUAGGUGGCUUGUCGCGUCUGCCGUGAAAACCCGAGGCUCAACCUCGGGCGUGCGGUGGGUACGGGCAGGCUAGAGUGUGGUAGGGGAGACUGGAACUCCUGGUGUAGCGGUGAAAUGCGCAGAUAUCAGGAAGAACACCGAUGGCGAAGGCAGGUNUC